rnacentral:miRNA from 1 species
CUUGCUGUGUGUGUGUGUGUGUGUGUGUGUGUGUGUGUGUGUGUGUGUUGGGGGAGCAGUUUGUGAACUGACACAAAUGCAUGCACU